rnacentral:lncRNA from 1 species
UUGUAUAUGCUCAAAUUGUUAUAGUGUGCCACCAGAAACGGCGUCGUGGGGGGGAACACAAACGAUACGUUGUUCAUGCUGGCGGAUGCUGACCCCGUGGUCUUGUUGCACAGAAAUUGUGGCGGUGAGCAGGGAACGAUGCCCGACCCGAUGGUGACGAACAUCUUCUCAUCCACGUCGAGAGGGACGGUGGGAUCCCCCGGCCUAACGAGAGCGGUCAGGUUGGUGUAGAAUCGGUGGGCGGUCGGGGUGUCGUAGAGGCCCGGCAAGGCCGGCAUCACGGGGGCAGAAGAACUGUUGACGGACGCGUACUUGACGAUGCCGGUGGUGGUGCUGAGGUCGACGGGUGGGCCUUCAGGACCUGCGCUGAUGUAGGGGCGGGCGGCCAUGUAGUAGUUGCCCGGGGCGGCGUUGGCGACCAUGAGAGCGUCCACCGUCUGGCCGGGGGCGAUGACCACCACGUCGGUCUCGUAAGGCUUGGUGUAGGUGGCGUCCACGGCGACAACCGUGAAGUUGUGCCCGG